CUCUUUAUGUUGAAUUCCUAGAAGGAUCAUGGAUCAUGCCAUUCAUAUCCAGCACCUCUGCCAGUGAGGGAUGUAAGACAAAGCUUAAGAUUGCUAGCUGUGUGUAACUUCUCUGAGGGGUCAAAAGAGUUAUGUUUGCUCAACAUUGCUCCAGCAUUCUGACACUUGUGAUUUCAGCCCUGGAGUGCAGACAUAUGGGCAUAUGUAUUUCCAUGUCUUCAGGCUCCCGAGUGCCCACUGUAAUCUUAAAUUGUAUCAUCUCUGUAGUCCUGAGGACUGCCUCUCAAAUAAACAAAUGAAGGACUGACUUGAUCUCUCA